rnacentral:lncRNA from 1 species
CCAGGGACCGCGCGGUCUCGCAGCGGGAGAGCGGGGAGACCUCGUUCAGGCCAGCCCUCGCGGCGGCCGCAGGAGUGGAGGCAGCUCCCGGGAAAAGCACAGCGCAAGCCCCCCUCGACCAGCCAUUCUGCGUCCCCCGCCGGACCUUCCCUCCCCUCCUUCCCUCCCUCUCUCCCUCCCUCGCGAGGUGGAAAGGAGGGGAGCCGGGCGCCAAGCCCUCAGAGGGCCGGGGUCGCCCGACCGUCCCUCUCGAGCGCGCGGCGCCUCCCGGGGGCUCGCGCGGGACUCGCCCCUUCUCCAGGGCCAGGAAGCGCCUCUCCCCGGAGAGCCGAAGCGACCCGUCCGGUUAGCUCGAGCCUCAAGCGUCUCCUGCCCCCGCCUCCUCCCGCUUCUGCUCCUGCCCCCGCCUCCGCGGGCUCACGCUCUCCCCCACUCGGUGAGCUUCAAACCAGGAAGCAGCUGCCGCCCCAUCCCGGGCAGGAGACUCGCGCCGCCGGGCUCCAAGUUCACGGCAACCCUGCGCGGGGCUGGCGCGCCCUCCGAAGCCCGGGGGCGCGGCGCGCGGCCGGCGCCCGACCCGGCGUUCGGUCAGUAGCGGGGCGCAAGCGGCCUGGGGAGCGCGGCGCAGGCCGGUUCGCACCGCUCUGCUCGCGCUCCCUGCAGCGGGGUCUGGCGGGGAGCUCUGGGCUGGAAGCUACCCCAGGUGCAGGCCAAAAAGGGAAGGGCUUGCGGCCCAGCCUGAGCGAACACCUGAGGCGUGGGAGACAGACCCGGGGAGCGCCGGAAGGCGGGAAAGAGGAGGAGCAGGGAACCCACGCGGCCGGGAGUCGCCCGCGCCCCCCAGUCCCCCCUAGGAGGUGGGAUGGCGACCCAACGUGGCCAUCUGGGAGAGGCCCUGGCCGGAGGCGGGUGCGUGACGGGAGGUUCCUUUACCUAAUCUUUACAGGGAUGGCUCAUCCCGAGUUCAGCUUGGGCCCAUCCUGUUUGUGUACCUUUCCUGCGGAGAGUAAUUACACGGUUGUUGUGUGUGUGCGUGUGUGUGUGUGUGUGUUUUUAAUAGAGCAGUAGUGAUGAUGGAAAUCCUGUCCGCCUCCUUCCUCGGAGAGGUGUGUCUUGUUGCACAAAGAGCAGGAAAGUUCAGUUCUGAAGACAGACAUGGCCGGGACGUAAUAAAUCUCUUCCUCUGCGGGGUGAUUCCCGGUCCACCCGGCCCUGCAUGACAAGAACAGUAGAUGUUCACACACACAGUCCCUGGCACAUGUGCUCGAUCGCCUCUUCUAGGAACACUCGGGGCUGUUGCUCUCUUUUUGAGUCAGAGGGGGCAGCCUUCAGUUUUUUCUCCACUGAGGGUUCCUGCAGUUUUUGUCCCCUGGGAGCUCCUUACUCCCUGAGGGCCAGGUCAACCAAUUUGUC